UCCUCGGUAGUAUAGUGGUGAGUAUCCCCGCCUGUCACGCGGGAUAUCGGGGUUCGAUUCCCCGCCGUGGAG
rfam:Nematostella vectensis strain CH2 x CH6 NEMVEscaffold_226_Cont19669, whole genome shotgun sequence.